rnacentral:rRNA from 1 species
CCUACGGGGGGCUGCAGUGAGGAAUAUUGGUCAAUGGACGAGAGUCUGAACCAGCCAAGUAGCGUGAAGGAUGACUGCCCUAUGGGUUGUAAACUUCUUUUAUAUGGGAAUAAAAUGUUCCACGUGUGGGAUUUUGUAUGUACCAUAUGAAUAAGGAUCGGCUAACUCCGUGCCAGCAGCCGCGGUAAUACGGUGGAUCCGAGCGUUAUCCGGAUUUAUUGGGUUUAAGGGGAGCGUAGGUGGAUUGUUAAGUCAGUUGUGAAAGUUUGCGGCUCAACCGUAAAAUUGCAGUUGAAACUGGCAGUCUUGAGUACAGUAGAGGUGGGCGGAAUUCGUGGUGUAGCGGUGAAAUGCUUAGAUAUCACGAAGAACUCCGAUUGCGAAGGCAGUUCACUGGACUGCAACUGACACUGAGGCUCGAAAGUGUGGGUAUCAAACAGGAUUAGAUACCCUUGUAGUC